rnacentral:rRNA from 1 species
GCUCCCUCCGCCGCCACUCAGACUCCUACCGGGAGGCGAGCAGUGGGGAAGUAAUUGGACAAUGGGGGCGAACCCUGAUCCAGCGAUGCCGCGUGGGUGAAGAAGGCUUCGGUUGUAAGCCUUAGGUUGGGAAGAAGAGUAUUAGGGGAUAAUCCUAGUAUUCUGACGGUACCGACAGAAUAAGCACCGGCAAACUCUGUGCCAGGCAGCCGCGGUAAUUC